rnacentral:rRNA from 1 species
UGGGGAAUUUUGGACAAUGGGCGCAAGCCUGAUCCAGCCAUGCCGCGUGAGUGAAGAAGGCCUGGUUGUAAGCUCUUUCGGCCGGGAAGAAAUCGUGUUCUCUAACAUAGGACAUGGAUGACGGUACCGGACUAAGAAGCACCGGCUAACUACGUGCC